AUCCAUAAGUACAAUGUUUUGAAAACCGGACCGGACAUUGACUAGGCAUUGUAAAUGGAUUAAUGGUCAGACCGGUCCAACCGGUUCAACCGAGCUUUAAAUUUUAAUUUAAUUUUAGAUUAACUAACUAUAUAUAUAAUUAUAAAAUUACGUUGUAUAAAAUUUUAUAUUAUUGUUAGAAUCUAAAUAUCUAUCUAAAUAAUUUAUUUCUCAUUAUAUUUUAUAUUAUUUUAAAUGUUUUCAUUUUAUUUUUAUAUCAUAAAACAAUAUAAUAAGAGUUUAAAAGUGGUAAAGGGUUUGGAGAUUAAGAUUUAGGAUCUAGAUUUUAGGAUUUUAGGAUUUAUGUAUAAAAUAAUAAAUUCUAAUAUAUUUUUUAAAAAAUAUCUAUUUAAAUUAAAUGUAUCAUUCUUUAAAAGUAACUUAAUCUUUUUACUCUUUAAUGAAAUCUAUUUAAUAAUUUUUGUCUUUGAACUAUUUAGUUAUAGAAAACUUAUUUUGUAGUGUUUUAGAAGAUUUUCCCUUUUGAUAUUUACAGCUUUUCCCUUUUGAUUUAUAAAAAUAUCUAUUUAAAUUAAAUGUAUUAAAUGUAUUAUUCUUUUAGAAGAUUUUCCCUUUUGAUAUUACAUAAAAAGUUCCAUAAAAGCAAAGGAUUUCAAAAAUAGGAGUUCAAAAUAUAUAUUUACAGCUUAAUUAGCGGUUAAUGCCAUCAAUGCAAAUCUAGUUUACUUUUUUGUUUUAUCUUGAGCAUCAAGCUGAGAUUUUGCUUUUAAUAAAAUCUUAAAUAAAAAAUCAUUUUCGUAUAUGUUGAAGAUCCUUAUCUUUCCUUUUUUACACGAAACAAGUUGUAUUAUAAAAGCAUCCUCAGUGUGCAGUUUUUCUAAAGCGUUGAGAAGAUAAAAAACAUGGUCAACUCAAAAUUCGUUCUUUUGGCUUUCAUAGCUCUGUCUCUUUUUCUUUCCGGUGCUGAAACAAGAGAUACUGUGUGGUCUGGCUCUAAAUUAUCUUCAUUUUGUUGCAUCAGUCAGCCUCAAUUAGGAGCUUGUGAUACAAAACAACAGAAUGAUAGAUGUGAGAAGCUGUGCAUCCGUGGUUGUAGCCUAAACAAAGGCGGCGGCUGUCAACCUGUUCCUACUGGUUCUGUUUGUUCAUGUUACUGUUAAACUAGCGUCAUGAAAAAUUAUGCUCUUUUUUCUUUGAUUAUUUAUUAAUAAAACAUAUUCUUUUGUUAUGCUCCAUUCAGUGCCGUGGCUAGAGUAUAAGGGGCCCAAGGAAUAAUAAUCAAAUUUGAUUGUAGAUGAUAAUAUAAAUAGUGAUGUUGUGUAAUAGUAAUUUUAAUUAAUAUAAAAAUUAAAAUUAAUAAUU